UAUUCUUGGUCCUCGGGCACAAUAUCUUUACCCUUAUCAGAGGGCUCACCACCUAUACAUAAUACACGACAUGUAAUUCAAUAUAUUUGUGCCAAACUGUUAUAAAACUAUUUCAGGCUCUAUAUGAAUGCAUGACAUUGAAUGAGAAUUGUCCAAAUAAUCACUUAAAUACGGUCUUCUACGUCGGUUCAAUUAUGAUCGGAUUGAAUUGGCAUUCGACUUAACUUGCACUAUGCCUUGUUUAAUUAGCCAAAACAUCUAAUUCAACUCCAAAUAUCUUCAUUACACUUUCAAUAUUCCAAAUACACCAAAGUACCUCAAUGAGCUUAAUUGUGACUUAAUUCACCAUAAUCGAAAUUCAUUCCGAUUUCGAUAUCCGAUACCAUAAAUCAUCAAUUACGAGCUAAUUAACAUGAAAUACAAUAAAAUCCAUCACCAACAUGUCACCUAAUAAAUUCGACCAAAGAGGGUUAUUGAAGAACAUGUGAUUUUCUUUCUUGCUUUUCCUUCCAAACAUCACAAAAUGACUAAAAACACUAGGAUAUUAUGAAAUCUAGCAAAAUUCAUCACUAAAACUUCUCUCUCUAGAUUUGGCCAGCAAAGGUUCCCUCUUGAAAACUUGAAUUUCAGCCAUGGAGAAUGAAAAAGAAUGCAUGGGAAAGGUACAUCACAAGCUAAAAUAAAAUAAUCUUACCUUUGCUUGCUUGAUUCCUUGAAAUCCAACAAUUUCUCUUGGAUUUUCCUUCCUAGGGUUUGUUCUUAUCUUUUUCUCUUUGUUCCCUUGCUUGGCAGGCCAUAAGAGUGUGAAUGUGGAGGUUUUCAGUGAGUUUAUAUAGGUAAUUAAAAUAAUAUUAAAGCUUGACACUUGUCACCUUUUAAUUGGUCCAUGUUUAAAAACUUAAUAAUUAAGCAUUUCAUUCCCACCACAUAUAAUCUCUCACUUAAAAAAAUAAUGGGUGAAAUUCAUGGAUUUGACAAGUGUCAUGGUGGUGUAAAAUUCUAAAAUUUUCAAUUUCGUCCUCAUGGACACUUAAAAUGAUCGUUUUGCCCCUAUGUUCGAAAAAAUGUCAAAAUUGAAAUUUUCACUUUUCAAAUUCAAAUAAUGCUCUAAUUAAUCAAAUUUAGUCAAAAUAUCAUCCAACAUUUCUAUUUUGCCCUUGGGUGGCAAAAUGACCAUUUUGCCUCUACGUUAUGAAAAUUCCCGAAUUAACUCCAAAUCAAUCCUCGAAUUCCGAAUCAUCAUGUUAAGACAUUCUAAGAUUCAAUAACUCUCAAAUACAUCGUAAAAUCUUUAUUUAGCCUAGUUCGAGGCUUUAAUCAACUUAAUUGUACCACUAGAUACAAUACCGACUUUUAACGAUUUUUUGAUACAUUCACUUAUGCAAACAUUCUAUCAAGCACAUGAAUGACAUGACAAGUAUAUAAUAGAGUAGGGCUUGACAAUAAUGGGGGUACUAAUCCUUCCCCGUUCGUAACGUAUUAUAGAACCCUAACUUUAAAUUCGCAGACUAGGUUAUUGUUCUGUAAAUGAACCUAAAGUUAAUUUAGGACUUCGUCGAAUGGAACAUAUUUAAUAAGUGGCCAAUCACACCAAGAUGACAAAAGAUUGGUGGUGACUCCCAACACUCCAAAUCUAGCUGACGGGUUCCCAGACUUGCGCGUUACGAUAGCUUGACAACUCCACUGGAGAGGCUUUAAGAGUUGAGCCAUUAAUUAAUCAUACGUUAUCCUAAGUUUUAAAUAAUUUACUGUUUCUUUUAAUCUCAAGAAUUUACUUUGUGCAUUAUUGUUUGUUGCAUUUAUUGUUUCAUUAUUGUUAUUUUAUUGCUUUUAAUAAUUGUAGAUGUUCUAGGAUAGAGGGACUUAAGAUGAGUGGUUAAAGAUCGGUCUAUUCCUUCACACACAUGACACUAUUUGCAUUCAUGCAUGAGCCUUAUACCCGGGCUCUAUCCUCAUUAAGAAGGGGUUAAGUAGCUACGCUCUCAUAAGGUGAUAAUCUUUGUAUGGGCUAGCGAAACACUUCCACUCAAAUUGAACCUAGUCAAUUUGAAGCCGACAAUGGAUGAGGACCAAGGUGCCUUGCUAAUCCGAGUGGGACAUGUUGGGAAUUUUGAGAAUAUGGUGCCCUAGAAAGGAAGUGUAUUCUCAUACUUAAAUUCAUUAAAUUAAUUUGUAAUGAAAGUACAAUUUGAUAAUAAGACAAAAAGUUUGUUUCAGUAAGCAUUCAAUAUUUAGCUAUUAAAGUACCAUGUUCUAUUGAGAUAUUAAAAUACAUUUGUAUGAAGAGUCAUACAUAGGAGACAUGUAUUUUAAUUGAAUCUAAAAAUUGUUCACAGCCAUAUAAUAAAGUUGGUCACCUUAUUGUUGUCAUGUCCCGGAACUCCCAUCGAGCCUAUGACAACCGCUGCGGUGCCUCGAUGGGCAAUCAUCUCCCAAAAUGCCAACCGAAACUCCGCAAGGCUUAAUAUCAGUUUCUCAUUUCCCCCGAUGAGUAACCAUUGCCAAAUAUUAUGUUCCAAAGGAUUUUGAACUAUUUCCAACUUAAAACAGAUAAAUUAAAAAUUUUUGUCUCACAGGGGCAUUUUGGUCAUUUUCUACUAAAAAUUUUGAAACCAGUUAAAAAUGUAGUAAACAAGUACCAAUCGCAUAAUUCACAAUUAAAAAUAAGUUAAAGCAUCUAAAACCUUUAUUUAAAAUAGAAUUA
rnacentral:lncRNA from 1 species